rnacentral:rRNA from 1 species
GUCGUCAGCUCGUGUCGUGAGAUGUUGGGUUAAGUCCCGCAACGAGCGCAACCCUCGUUCUGUGUUGCCAGCAUUUAGUUGGGGACUCAUAGGAGACUGCCGGGGUUAACUCGGAGGAAGGUGGGGAUGACGUCAAAUCAUCAUGCCCCUUAUGUCUUGGGCUGCACGCAUGCUACAAUGGCUGGUACAAACGGCUGCAAUACCGCAAGGUGGAGCGAAUCCGAGAAAGCCAGUCUCAGUUCGGAUUGGGGUCUGCAACUCGACCCCAUGAAGUCGGAGUUGCUAGUAAUCGUAGAUCAGCAACGCUACGGUGAAUACGUUCCCGGGGCUUGUACACACCGCCCGUCACGUCACGAAAGUCGGUAACACCCGAAGUCAGUGGCCCAACCGCAAGGAGGGAGCUGCCGAAG